ensembl:lncRNA
CAAUCAUGUGACUCAUCUCAUAAGCUAAGGUUAUGUAAUGGGGAAGUCUUUAGGACCCAGGGGACCCAAUGGAGGGUAUAAAAGAGGAAGUAGCAGCAGGUGCUCUUCAUUUUCCACUGACGAGCGGCUGUGAACAAUGGUUGUGUGAGUAGGUGAAGAGCCUGAGAAGUUUUAAUUGUCUGCUACACAAACAGUUGUUUUAAACCUCUACAGCAGAGGUUCGAGGUACAGGCUGUUUUUCUUUUAGUGUUUUUUUUAAAUUUGUUGAAAUGUAUUUGAUGUUUAUUGUAUUUUAUGUUUUAGUAGUGAUUUUUACAAGAUAAGCCAAGAUAAGCCAGGUGUGCAGCAAACACAGUUGUCUGCUGGAGAGAUUUCGUGAUGCUCCAGAUUGUAUCAAAGAGUUCCCCAACUUUUUCUACAGCUGUAGUCAUUCCACCUCAUACUGGCAGUCAUGAUGACUACUGACAUUUCGAGG